UCUGCUCCCUUCCUGCCACAGAACUUUGUGCUAGUGUGGGAGGUCCGUCAUCGGAAGAAGCGGCGUUCCAAGCGCAAGGCCGACGGCGAGGAGCCGGCGCCCAGCCAGAAGACCACCAGCUCGCAGCAGCGCAAGGAACUGUUGGCCCAGUGGAGGGAGAGAUUCGUCCAGAACCUGCAGACUGCAGGCUUGCUCCUGGAGAAGGAGGAAACAGCCAACGAGAAGAAAACAAUUAAUUUCCUGAAGCUGAGCGCGCCCUGGGAGGUGCUGGUCUACCACGCGGAGGAGAUGUGCAUCAGAGCGCCACUGCAGGUGCAACCGAGCCCAGACUUUAACACGUCCGCUCGGAUAAUGAAGAGGCUGUGCAUACCUAAUGUGUUUACAGAGUACGUGCCAAGACGCCCGCUAGACUACUACACGUGUAACUUCCGCAAGUCGAAAAUGGACAGGUUCCUCGGCUGUAACAACCAUGAAACAUAUUUCUCAAGCACACAGAGGCACCGCAUUGUGUAUGAGAUCCUGGCGAAGACAGCCUAUGGCAAGAGGAGGAGGGCGGAGGUGGGCGUGGCCAGGCUUCUGACCGAAGGGGCGUACUCUGCUGCCUUCCCCCUGCAUGAGGGCAAAUACCAGCUCCCUACAUCGGAGGUUAGUCCCGAUGAGCUGAACAAAAGGCAGGUUCUGUUCCAGUAUUGGGCUCGAUGGUCCAAAUGGUAGCAGUAUCAGCCUCUGGGACCACAGUCCGGGGAGUACUUUGGAAGGAAGAUCGGCCAUGUGUCUGGUUCUGCAGGGUUCUACACAGCCUGGCUCCUGCACAGCUGCCCUGGUGGGACUGCUUGUCUUUCUGUCAGGAGUUCUGUCCCUGGCCAGCAAUGAGCCAGCGCAGGAGAUCUGCACCAGUGGAGCCAGCUACCUCAUGUGUCCUCUCUGCAACACCUGCAAGGCCUGGAACAUGUCCGACAUCUGCCCCAUGGCCAAGUUGGGCUACCUGUUUGACCAUCCAGGCACAGUGUUCUUCAGUGUGUUCAUGUCCUUCUGGGCUGUCACCUUCUUGGAGUUCUGGAAACGCAAGAUGGCCACCCUGGCCCACCACUGGGACUGCAUGGACUUCCACGAAGAAGAGGAACGCCCUCGCCCAGAGUUUCGUCGCCAUGGCGCCCGCCCGUGAGUACAAACCCGGUGACGGGGGUGAAGGAACCGUACUUCCCCAAGAAAGACCGUCUGACCCGCAUGUUCAACCGCGUCCAUGGUCAUCAUCAUCAUGCUGUGUGUGGUGGUGAUAUUCCUGGUGACCGUCAUCAUGUACCGCGGCAUCAUCAGCGUGAUGAUGUUCCACACGGGGAACCCCGUACUGCGCACUCAGGCCGGGAACAUCGCCACCAUCUCGGGCAGUCUGGUGAACCUGGGGCUCAUCCUGCUCAUGGGUCAGGUGUACACCGCGCUCGCAGAGCAGCUCACCAAAUGGGAGAUGCACCGGACACAAACCGAGUAUGAGGACGCUUUCACCUUCAAGGUGUUUGUCUUCCAGUUUGUCAACUUCUACUCUUCUCCGUUCUACGUCGCCUUCUUCAAAGGGAGAUAUGUAGGUUACCCUAGCAACUACGGAACCUUGUUGGGAAUGAGAAAUGAAGACUGUGGUCCCGGGGGCUGCCUUAUAGAGUUAGCUGAACAACUCUUCAUCAUCAUGGUGGGAAAGCAACUCAUUGGGAACGUUCAGGAGUUUGUCAUCCCUAAGGUGAAGUCCUGGCAGCAGAAACGCUCCCUGGAUAAAGUGAGGGGGGGCUGUGUUCUUCAUCGCUGGGAGGAAGACUACCGUUUGGUGGAAGAGGAAGGCCUGUUCGAUGAGUACCUGGAGAUGGUGCUGCAGUUUGGCUUCAUCACCAUCUUCGUGGCGGCCUUCCCCCUGGCGCCCCUCUUCGCUCUGCUCAACAACUGGGCCGAGGUCCGCCUGGACGCCCACAAGUUUGUGUGUGAGUACCGCCGGCCGGUGGCCCAGCGUGCGCAGAACAUCGGCGCCUGGUUCAACAUCCUGGAGGCCCUGUCGCACCUCUCUGUCAUCGCAAACGCAUUCCUGAUUGCCUUCACAUCAGACUUCUUAUCUCGCCUGCUGUAUCAGUACAAGUUUGAAAAGGAGGAUCUCAGUGGCUUCGUGAACUUCACCCUGGCCUACGCCCCACUCAACUACACCCAGUACCCAAUGUGCAGAUAUAAGGCUUUCAGAGACGACAAUGGGAACUACACAUUGGUCUACUGGGAGCUCCUCGCAGUCAGAUUCAGUUUCAUCAUUGCUUUUGAGCAUGUAGUGUUCUUUGUGUUGCGGGCCAUCGACUGGAUCGUCCCGGACGUCCCUGAGUCCCUGCUGGUGCAGAUCAAGAGGGAGCGCUACCUGGCCAAGCAGGCCUUAGCCGAGCACCAGGACAUCCUGCUCGGAGCGGGGGUCCGGAAGACCUCCCCUCACCACCCCCACACCAGCUCCUCCAGCCCCCAGCCCAGCAGGAGACGGACACGGCCCUCACAGGACGCCCCAUACCGCAAGGCGUCCCCUGGCUCUGUGGGCUAACCCUGCACUGGGAGGAGUGGGGAGGAGGUAGGGCAUCGCUGGCCUGGAGGGGCAGAGAGCCAUCUGCCAACCUGCCUGCCUACCCUAAAGUGCUGUCUCCUUUGUAAGGUCCUUGAAUCCGUCUCAAUCGAUAGGUCUUUAAAUUCUGUCUUUAUCGAUUGGUCCUUCAAUUAUGUGUCCAAAGAUAGGUCCUUGAAAUCUGUCUCUGAAGAUAGGUCCUUGCAUUAUGUCUCAGAAGUUAGGUCCUUGAAAUCUGCCUCCACAGAUAGGUCCUUGAAAUCUGUCCCCACAGAUAGUUCCUUAUAUGCUGUCUCUGAAGAUGGGUCCUUGAAUUAUGUCUACACAGAUAGGUCCUUGAAUAAUGGCUCCAAAGAUAGGUCCUUGAAUUCCAUCUCCAAAGAUAAGUCCUUGAAAUCUUUCUCCACAGAUAGGUCAUUGAAUGCUGUUUCUAUCGAUAUGUCCUCGAAUGCUGUCUCAAUCCAUUGACAGAUCCUUGAAUUCUGGCUCCAUACAUAAGUCCUUGAAUCCUGUCUUAAUUGAUCAAUCUGGGAAUUACAUCUCCUUAGAUAAGUCUACGGAGGCUGUAUCCAUAGAUAGGUCCUUGAAUGUUGUCUCCAGCCUUUGAUAAGUCCUUGAAUGCUGUAUCCGUAGAUAGGUUCUUGAAUGUCGUCUGCGUAGAUAGGUCCUAUCUCGCCAUUGCUCGCCAUAACCUGCUGGCGAAGAUAACUUUAUUUUCUUGCAGGAUCUUGCAACAACGCCUCAUUUACAAUCAAAGCACAUGUUAUUGCUAGCACACUGACCGAUUACAGAUGGCUGCCUAUGGAUGAGCUUCAACACACGACAGAGGACUAAUAAAGUGUAGCGAGACUGUUUGGUGCUGUUCCCAAGUGUUCAAAAACGUUGCACAUCAACUUUACCGUUACACAGCAUUAUGCAAUGUUGAUACUUUUUGAGAGAUUUGUCAUACAUUGUUUGAAAGAGGCAAUUCUUUGUUUUUAUCUGCUAUUUAUGUGAUCUUAUAACAUCAACUGAAAUCUACAGUUUUCUUUCAUUUCCGAAAGCUUUUGUCUGAAUAAAAUCUAAUUUUGAUGAAUGCACAAUAUGAA